AAUCAUUUCCAGUUGAGAUAUCAUGUCUUGAUAUUGAGAAUAAGUUUGAAUGGUAUUCCAUGAGUUCAGACAGAUAUUACUCAUUAAGACUAUAUGAUGGAGAUGUCAUAUAUUACAAAGACAAUAGAGAGACAAUGAAAGAGUUAACAGAUAAAGAGAGAUCAGAAAUACGAAGGGCAGAGGAAGCAAGGU